CCCUCCCUUCAAGAAGCAACGGGAUCCCCCUCCCCCCUUUCUCGUUUUGCCUUUUUUUUUAAUUUCCUCCUCCCGAGAAGAAGGAUUUGGAGCCAGCGUGAAGGAUAAAAAGCCUGGUUUCUCCCUAGGAGGCGCGCCGAAGGAGCCGGAGGGAGAAGGAAGGAGAAAAGGGACUGCUGCUGCUGCUAGCUUGGGCGAUGGACGAUCAACCCAGGUUGAUGCAUUCCCAUGCUGGGGUGGGGAUGGCAGGACAUCCCGGCCUGUCCCAACACAUGCAGGAUGGAGCAGGAGGGACAGAGGGCGAGGGAGGCAGGAAACAAGACAUUGGAGACAUUUUACAGCAGAUCAUGACCAUCACAGAUCAGAGUUUGGAUGAGGCACAAGCCAGAAAACAUGCUUUAAACUGCCACAGAAUGAAGCCGGCCCUUUUUAACGUCUUGUGUGAAAUCAAAGA